GAGUUUGAUCGUAGCUCAGAUUGAACGCUGGCGGCAUGCCUUACACAUGCAAGUCGAACGGCAGCACGGGAGCAAUCCUGGUGGCGAGUGGCGAACGGGUGAGUAAUACAUCGGAACGUGCCCAGUAGUGGGGGAUAACCCGGCGAAAGCCGGACUAAUACCGCGUACGACCUACGGGUGAAAGCAGGGGAUCGCAAGACCUUGCGCUAUUGGAGCGGCCGAUGUCAGAUUAGCUAGUUGGUGGGGUAAAAGCCCACCAAGGCGACAAUCUGUAGCUGGUCUGUGAGGACGACCAGCCACACUGGGACUGAGACACGGCCCAGACUCCUACGGGAGGCAUCAGUGGGGAAUUUUGGACAAUGGGCGCAAGCCUGAUCCAGCCAUGCCGCGUGCGGGAAGAAGGCCUCGGUUGUAACGACUUUGUCUAGGAGAAAGAC
rnacentral:rRNA from 1 species